ensembl:lincRNA
CCGGGAGGAGGGCGCUGACCUCGAAGGGCCGCUUUCUGCUGCCCUGGGAGCUGGGUGCUUGGGGUCCUAAUCUGUCGGCGGGGGUGCAGCGCCAUGCAGCCCAUCCCCCAGCCAUAGCUCUUCCCAGCCCCCCAGGCUCCCACUCUCAUGCCUCACCCCCUCUUCCCAGGCUAUAGGGAGCGACUAGACAUGGCGCCCGAUACCCUGCAGAAACAGGCGGACCACUGUAACGACCGCCGCAUGGCGUCCAAGCGCGUGCAGGAGCUCAGUACCAGUCUCUUCUUUGCUGUUCUGGUCAAGGUGAGCCCUCCAGCCUGGUGCCCCUCACCUCCCUCUGGCUCCUGACCCUCCUGGGCACCUGCUCACCAGGAGGCCUCGAGGAGCCCAGGGCAGUGCCAGGAGGUGCCAUGGCUGCAGCACUGUCCCUGCAGGAGAGUGGCCCCCUGGAGUCAGAAGCCAUGGUGAUGGGCGUCCUGAAGCAAGCCUUCGAUGUGCUGGUGCUGCGCUACGGCGUGCAGAAGCGCAUCUACUGCAACGCACUGGCCCUGCGGUCCCACCACUUCCAGAAGGUGGGCAAGAAGCCGGAACUCACGCUGGUCUGGGAGCCUGAGGACAUGGAGCAGGAGCCAGCACAGCAGGUCAGAACCCCUCUGUGUCCCAGCCCCCCAAGUCCUGAUGACCCCUCUCCUGCCUCCUGCGGUGCCCCUCAUUCCUUCAUCUGUGUCCCCUGGGCUCCCCCAGCACUGCAGCCUCCCGGUGGGGUUUCAGGGCCCUCCCAGCUCACCCAGACCCCCUCCUGUGGGUCCUGCUUUCUGGCACCACCUUCCCUUCCUUGGGGGCAACCACAGUGGAGAGAGGAGGGGCUCUGCCUGUCCCGCUAAUGCAGGGGUGCUGGCCUUCUGGGGUCCUUUAGAGAACCUGAUGAAAGCUAUGAGUUUACACCCAAGAAAUUGUCUGGAACCGUUUUCACCAACAAUGUGCCCUGAACGCGGACCCAGGCCCUCAGGUUGUGUUUCAUAAGCCUUGGGAGCACUCAGGAUGCAUCUGACUCCCCAACUCUGCCCUGACCCAGGGCAUUCUUCCUGGAGGGGGCCCCCAUUACAGACAGGCGAGCAGAGGCUUCCAGAGGCCGAAGGAGGGGCCUGGGGUCCUGCUGCAGGGAUGGAGGCAGAGCUGCGCCUCGACAUCAGGCCCUGCCAUCCUUGUCCCCUCACGGCUGGGCUCUGCACAGGUCAUCACCAUCUUCAGCCUGGUGGAGGUGGUCCUGCAGGCAGAGUCCACAGCCCUCAAGUACAGCGCCAUCCUGAAGCGGCCAGGCACCCAGGGCCACCUGGGCCCUGAGAAGGAGGAGGAGGAGGAGGAGUCUGACGGUGAGCCCGAGGACUCAAGCACCAGCUGAGCUCCACCAGCCGCCUGCCCCGCCUGCCUGUCCCGCCACACUGGCUUUAGGACCUGUUGACACGGAGGGGGGUUUUUAAUUUGGUUUUUAACAACUCAGGGGUUUGUUUUUAUUUUUAUUUAAUUUUUGCAGCUCAACUUUUAAACAAACUGCAGGGGAGAGGGUGGGGCUGGAAGGAAGGCUGAGGCCUGGUCAGCAGUGACCCCAGCAGAGCAGGCCCUAGUCCUCCUGGGAGGCUGGCCCCCCUUUUUUCUGGGCCCUACUGCCCUCCUCUGCCCAGGAAAUGGGGGGUUUCAGCAAAUCAGUGUCACAGAAUAAAAUCAAGUGUGGAGUGCCAUCUGGUGUGUAGGGUGCCUCUGGGAAGCCUGGGCAGCAGAAUGCCCCUUGCACCCAGGGCAAGGGACCCAGUUCAGGCUUCACCCCUCGCUGCUGAGCCGAUGUCAACACCUGGAACUUUCCUGUCAGUUCCAACACGAUUCAGAGCUGGCUGCCUGGCAGAUGAUUGAUGCUGGAGUCUCAUUCUGCCUGAUUAAAAAUGGAAUUAGUAUGCAGCACUGAGAGCGCCCCCAUCACCCUGACGCAUGUGACUGUGACGAAUGUGACUGUGUCCAACCCUGCCCCCACUUCCUCUCUGCACCAGCUCCGCAGGGCCUGGUGGGAGUCAUGGGUCCUGUGAUACCCCCUCCCCUCAGUUCCUCAAGCAGCACUCUGUGAGGUCCUGUGCCCAGCUCUGGUGUGAGUGGGUGCCCCGGCAGCACCAAGGGAGCCUGGACAGAGGAGCCGGCCUGGGCCUGGGGGAGGGGAGGAGGGCCCUCCAGUGCCUUCCAAACCAGGAGGGGAAACUGGCUGCUGGUGACACGGAUCCCACCUGCCUCGGUCCCGAGCAGAGCUGGCUGGCCACUGGGCAGUCCCUUCCCCAGCCAGCCUGACCCCAGCCUGUACUCCUUCCCCCUCCGUGGGGGAAGCUCCAUGGCUUGGCGUCUCCGAGAGCUGCCAGAAACUAGGAUGAAAGCCAUGGUGAGCACGGCCUCUGUUCCCCUGCACCAUUUCCUGGGGUGUCCGGAUUAACAAGCUCAUUUGAUCUGGUUACAGUGAAUUUUCUUCAAAGAAACACUCAAUAGGGUCCCUUGUCAGAGUGCCUCGCAGCGACAGUGACUGGGUACUGCUGCCUUUGUUCUGCCACCGUCAGACGGGGCUGGCUAUGGGAGGCGACCAAAGACAUCCCGCACCUGCCCUGGGAGCCUUUCCCUCCUCCAGGGCUCAGCCACCUCAGGCGGCCUUCAGUCUGUGUGUCCUGCCACCCCCGAGAUGUCCCAGAGGCCACGGUCACCCCAUCUGUUCCUGUCCCCAGAACCUUCUCCUGCAGCCAAGUAUCUGCAGGGACAGACAGGCGAGCAUCUGGGGGUUUGGUGUUGGGGUGGAGAAGGCUGUGGGGUGCUGCCCCGGCCCAGGCAGCCUGACUGUGAGAGCCCCAAACAGGAGACAUCCCAGCCCCUUCCCCUCCCCUCCACGCUGCCCACCCUCUGAGGAGCAGUGGCCAAGUUCCUCUCUGGGCUUCUCAGGCCAGGCUGACCCUGUCCCCCAGGGCCUCCCACGAAGCAUGGGAGCUGUUCCCUCACAGGCAGCACAGACCCGGACGGACACCUGUCCCUAUGUCCCAGCGCCCCCAGGCCCCAGUGAGGAGUAGCCAGCGGGGUGAACAAGGGGGUUCCUGCUGCCUGGGCUUGUUUGGGAAGCAGAUGCUGGGCUCAGAGUUUCUUCAGAGAGCCUCACCUUCCGUGCUGGCCCCAGAGCAUGGCGGGUCCCUGGAGCUGUGGAGGCCAUGGCAGCCCCAGCCCACCCCACCCCAUCUGGGGAAGUGGAAACCGUAU